CCAGUUGAGUUAAAAUGGAUUCAAUCAAAGGGAUCCCAUCCCCUCCAAGCAAUGAAGGAAGCAAGGAAGCUGUGGUUUAACUUGUAUUCUUGAAUUCUUGUUGGAAGCUUGUUUUUGUGGACCUAUUAUUAUGUCAUGUAGUCUCAGACCUAUCAUCUCUUUAUGUAGAAACUACGAAAAUAAAUCUCUCUGGUAAUGCAUCUGUCGUAUGAAUCAAAUAUCUUGAAAACACUGUCUCACCAAAAUGGAAUUUCCUGCCUUAGAGACUUAAAAUGCGGUGAGCUUUUCAUGAAAGUGGUCACCAAAUCUGUCAUUAUCUAUAUAUUUGUAUAAAUAUGUCAUGUAGUCUCAGACCUAUCAUCUCUUUAUGUAGAAACUACGAAAAUAAAUCUCUCUGGUAAUGCAUCUGUCGUAUGAAUCAAAUAUCUUGAAAACACUGUCUCACCAAAAUGGAAUUUCCUGCCUUAGAGACUUAAAAUGCGGUGAGCUUUUCAUGAAAGUGGUCACCAAAUCUGUCAUUAUCUAUAUAUAUGUAUAAAUAUACAUAUUUUGUUUAAUUUAUUUUUAAUAUAUAUUUUAUAUGAAUAGUUGAUUUUGUGUGUGUAUAUUUUUGUGUACAUUUAAGUUGAAUUAAUAAUUAUAAAGCUAAUAAAAUUUAUUACAAAAAAUGUUUGAUUUGCAACAAAGAGAGCC
rnacentral:lncRNA from 1 species